AUGAAACUCCUUAUUCUCUUAGGCGUGCUUCAAAAGGAAAAGAAAAGGUUGGGAGUUCAACUUCAAGGUCUAAGGGAAAGGAAAAAGUGAAUGAAGAUGAAGAUGAGGAAGAUGAGGAAGAAGCAUGUGAGGAAGAUGGAUUUAUGGAAUUUGACAAUUUGGAUUUGUGUGAAGAAGAAGAUGAGUUUGAUAUGGAUGAUUGAAUGACUUUGAAGGGUUGAAUUAAUGAAUG